rnacentral:rRNA from 1 species
UACGGAGGGUGCAAUCGUUGCUCGGAAUCAUUGGGCGUAAAGCGCACGUAGGCGGCCUGAUAAGUCGGAUGUGAAAGCCCUGGGCUCAACCCAGGAAGUGCAUUCGAAACUGCCAGGCUUGAAUAUGGAAGAGGGUCGCGGAAUUCCCGGUGUAGAGGUGAAAUUCGUAGAUAUCGGGAGGAACACCAGUGGCGAAGGCGGCGACCUGGGCCAAUAUUGACGCUGAGGAGCGAAAGCGUGGGGAGCGAACAGG